AUUGAACGCUGGCGGCAGGCCUAACACAUGCCAGUCGAGCGGAUGAAGGGAGCUUGCUCCUGGAUUCAGCGGCGGACGGGUGAGUAAUGCCUAGGAAUCUGCCUGGUAGUGGGGGAUAACGUCCGGAAACGGGCGCUAAUACCGCAUACGUCCUGAGGGAGAAAGUGGGGGAUCUUCGGACCUCACGCUAUCAGAUGAGCCUAGGUCGGAUUAGCUAGUUGGUGGGGUAAAGGCCUACCAAGGCGACGAUCCGUAACUGGUCUGAGAGGAUGAUCAGUCACACUGGAACUGAGACACGGUCCAGACUCCUACGGGAGGCAGCAGUGGGGAAUAUUGGACAAUGGGCGAAAGCCUGAUCCAGCCAUGCCGCGUGUGUGAAGAAGGUCUACGGAUUGUAAAGCACUUUAAGUUGGGAGGAAGGGCAGUAAGUUAAUACCUUGCUGUUUUGACGUUACCAACAGAAUAAGCACCGGCUAACUUCGUG
rnacentral:rRNA from 1 species